GCUGGGGUGGUUUAGUGGUCUGAGCAUUGGACUAUGAUUCUGGAGGCCAGGGUUCAAAUCCCAGCUCAGCC